rnacentral:lncRNA from 1 species
AAAACGAAUCGGGUGAAGAUAUUAGUCAACAACCCUGAGCUGCAAUGUGACUCACGUGCUCGCGCUCGUGAAUACAUAACCUUGUGUGGUACAUUUUUCAUGUGAAUAUUUCAAAAGCAAGGUUAUUUUGUCAAUUCGAAUGGUUUGUUCCAUGCUGUACCUGAAAGAACUAGAUGUGGUGUUUAAGUUAGGAAAAUCAACGUUUGAUAUCAUAUUACUGGGUUGAGGUGAAUUGCUGAUGGUAAUGUAUUCGAGUGCAAUAGCGCAAACUAAAGCGAUGAGACAUAUACAGGUCAGACGGGCUGCUGGCUCAGCACACCAUGCAAAGAUGCUUUUCUUAAAAAUCCUUUCAAGUGCUGCUUCAAAGGAUCCAUCAACGUCAAUGAAGUAAAAAAAAUAAAUAAAAUAAAAUAUGCAUCUGUGACAAAUAGUUAAGAGUUGAAAAUUCAGUCCAACUAAAGCAGCUUAAAAAUAAAGAGCUUUAAAAAAAAAGGUUUAAAGACAUCUUAUGUAUGUUUAAUUUGGAUAACUGGAAUAAGAAAAUCAGAAGAAUUAUCCUUAAAAACAUUAAAACUUUUUAAGCUUCCAUUAACAUCCAUAAUUCACCUUAAACCAGUAAUAUGACAAUGAAAGCUAUAGGUUUUUUAUAUUUUGGACAAAAUUGUAAAUUUCAGAACAAUUAUGCCUAAAAUAUAAAAAACUAUAGCUUUCAUAGUUAGCCAUAUUAACUUGCUUAUAUAAUAAUAAUAAAAUAAUUGUACAGAGUGAGAGAGAUGUGGGUACAUAAGUUGGUUGUAAAAUUGUAAUUAUAUUUUUAUAUCAUAUUUAAAUGUACAUUACCUUACUGGCCUGUUUACCAUUAAAUAAUAUUUGAUAACCUCAAACCAUUUCAAAUAAAUUUGUUGGAAUUUCAUGACAAACGCCUCACCUGAACUGAACAUACUGCCAUGUCAAGCAGCCUACUGUUUUAUUUCUGAAAGACAAAAUAAAACAUCUAGGGUUUGUGAAACGGACAGCAGAUGUAAUAUGGGAGGGAAGAACUGCUACGGAGUUAAAAGCCACUAACAAAUUAUUUUACUUGAAUUUCGGUCAACAGACCAUAAUGAGCGUAUUUA